ensembl:lncRNA novel transcript, antisense to ARHGEF10
GGAGCCGUGGUGUCCUCGUGUGCAAGAUAGGAGUGAAUGACACCUCGCAUCACUAGGGCCGUGCUCAGAAAUGCACUGAUCAUGGGGAAGGGGCUGCAGCGGCCAGCGCACCCGAGGGGACACGUGCCUUGCGUCGUCCCUGUCACCCUCACUCUGCAGAUGGAGGAGGCAGCUCGUAGCUCUGAUUUGACAGCUGACAGAAAACCAAAGAGCAUGGACUUUCCGUUUCCUGCCCUAGCUCUGCCACUUUCUAACCAGGAGCCCAGAACUUGGUGCAUUUUUGUUAGAAACAGCAGAAGCCAUCGGACGCAGGCCCGGGAGGUCAGGUUAAGGAACCAGUGAUGGUUUCUGCCAGCUGCCAGCUCUGUCCAUCCCAAUUAUACACCUGGAGACCCAUAGGCCCUUGUGAGACGGACAUGGGCCUAACUCUACGCGCCAUGUGGCUUUCAUAAGACCCCUCUACAGCCCAAGGUGCCGCUCUGCUUGUCUGCUCAGCGGCGACUCAGAGCCUGGACAGUUUCCAAGGUCUGCUCUUUCCCGUUACCACUGCAGUCUUCCCAGCACACGCAUGCAGGUCCCUUUGGGGAAGCAUCGACCAAAGGGACCUGCAGCCUACGUGUGGGGUCCUUCCUCAGGUGAACCUGACUCCCCCUUCAGUCAGUGAGCUCCGAGCCUGUGAGCUGACUCAGGUGUGGGACUUGGACCAUGACCUGCAGGUUUUUGUUCAUUGCUGAGCAAUGCCUCUUGGUGCCUUCCUGUCUCCGUUCGGGCUGCUGUGAUGAAACACCAAGCCUGGCCACGCCCCAGAGGACAGGGGCCCCAUCAGGAGGUGAGAUCGUGAUGCCAGCCAGGCUCCUUGUUGAUCAAGUUACCGAGGGUCUACCCAGCAGAUGGGGGCCCGGAAGCUGGGGGAGACGCAGCCAUUUGGCCCUGGGCUCCCAAGUGUCCUGCUGUCACUGGGUUAAUCCCUGUCCAGGAAGAGCCCAGGGCUCUGCAGAGGAGAGGGGGAAUAAACCAGCAGUGGCAACCCCAAAGGGAGGCUUUUUCUCUCUUGUCCCAUCCUCAGGGCCUAAGACAGAGCUUGGCCUCACCUCUGACACUCAUCAGGUGCUCAGUAGAAGCUUGUUGCUUAGAGAACGCACUUGCCUGUCUGCACGGCUUCAUUUGUUGGUGAUAUGCUUGUUUUCCUCAUUCACUGUGAAAGCAGAACCCGCGUCCUGGCAUAGCGGGAGUUCUUUGUAGCCCACGUUCUCCAACCUCUUCCUCCCUCAAAGCCCUCCCGCGUCUGCCUCUCUCAGGAUCUCUGGAAGUCUCUCUUCUCUAGGAGGGCAGAGGGAGUUAAGGAGUCAGUUACACAGACCCCACUCUGUCCAUGUCCCGCACCAUCAAUCGUGUGGAAAGAUUUCUGUCCCAGCAAGUUAACUUUACACAUCCAUUUCAUCUCUCCAUGUAAGGUGUUGGCCCUGGUCUGGUAAAACACCCACAAUAGGAACAUUUUACAGGAAACUCAUUCUACUCAUAACUCAAAAUGGAAUGGCCAAGUGUAGGCUGGGCAUGACUGUGAAGUCAGAACCACUGAAUUAGGAACAUCAAUUGGAAGCCUCUGAACCCCCCUCCCCUUUUCUACCAAAUUAGUAAAUCCAUCCUGCCUUCCUGGAAGAAUCGCAGAGAUCAGAGCCGCCAUCAGAGGCUUGAAGGGUGGCAAAAUUCUGCCAACCAACUCCUGGCUCACACUAGGAAACUUAGCACUUUGGGAGGCUCAGACACGAGGACUGCUUGAGGUCAGGAGUUUGACACUAGCCUGGACAACAUAGCGAGACCCCAUCUCUACAAAAUGUUAAAAAGAAAAAAAGAGUUAGGUGUGGUUGUGUGCAUCUGUAGUCCCAGCUACUCAGGAGACUGAGGUGGGAGAACUGCUUGAACCUGGGAGGUUGAGACUGCAGUGACUGUGGGAGCCCAGGGGGUUAUGGUGAGCCAUGAUCACGCCCCUGCACUGCAACCUGUGCGACAGAGGGAGACUUUGUCUCUUCAAACAAAUAAAGAACAAGUACAUGAGUUGCUUGAAAGAUUCCCAGUGCCUACUUCCAAUUCAGAGCGCGGUGCUCCACGCAGUUGGGUGCGUUGCUGGGAUUCAGACACGGAGUCUCCCCAAAGCAGCAAGUGGUGAUGCAGCUAGGAACGGGCAGGCCAAGCCCCCCACCCAGCCCCCCGAGGUUGAUGUCCCUUUCCACUUGACACAGAAAAGAGGCAACUCAUCCUACUGCAUUUUAAAAUAAAAAUACUUUAUUGAUGAAGUCAGACAGCAGCUAACAGUUUGAGAAGCUUGGGAAGAAAUCACUUUCACAUGGGGGAUAUAUGCAACCUAGAACAUAUUUGGCUAAGUCAUAAAAUUAACAUUUUUAGUCAUCUGUAAAGUGCUGAGACAUUUAUUUCUGGUGCCUGCCUGUGUUAGGAUUUUUUUCUUGUUAUCCGUCCAGUAAGUGAAACACUGAAAUACACGUUCAGCAGGAUGGCGCUCACUAAGUAUGCACCUUGACAUGAUGGUGUGCACUCAUUAUGCACGUUCUCACGCGGGGCUGGCUCUGCAACUGCAGAAUAGAAACUGAUGCGUUCUGCAGAGGAGGCGUCUGCACAACAGACAGGCUGGCCCGAGGUCACGCCUCUUGGCCUGAGUCCCGCUCAGUGACAGCAGCCAGCAUGGCCUAGCACCAGGAGUCAUUCGGAGCGUGCGUGCUAAAGCAGACACAGCAUUCCACGUCAACAGGGGCAAGAAGCUGCACGAAGGAACUAAGCAAGACUUCUCUGCCUAUCUCCUCUAAUACUAAAGCACACACUUUUCUCCUGUGGAUAGUCACUCUAUUUAUACGAGAAGGGAGGAAUAAUUUGGUGUUGAUGCUUGAGUCCAAAUGUUGAUAGGCACUGAGCAUUUUGGUUCAAAGCAAACAUUAUUUGUGAAAUGCUACAGAUAAUACAUUGACUGAA